CCUACGGGAGGCAGCAGUGAGGAAUAUUGGUCAAUGGGCGUAAGCCUGAACCAGCCAAGUCGCGUGAGGGAUGAAGGUUCUAUGGAUCGUAAACCUCUUUUAUAAGGGGAUAAAGUGUGGGACGUGUCCUGUUUUGUAUGUACCUUAUGAAUAAGGAUCGGCUAACUCCGUGCCAGCAGCCGCGGUAAUACGGAGGGUCCGGGCGUUAUCCGGAUUUAUUGGGUUUAAAGGGUGCGUAGGCGGCCUGUUAAGUCAGCGGUGAAAUGCCGUGGCUCAACCAUGGAAUUGCCGUUGAAACUGGGAGGCUGGAGUAGGUGUGAGGUAGGCAGAAUGCGUGGUGUAGCGGUGAAAUGCGUAGAUAUCACGAAGAACCCCGAUUGCGAAGGCAGCCUGCCAAGCCAUGACUGACGCUGAUGCACGAAAGCGUGGGGAUCAAACAGGAUUAGAUACCCUGGUAGUC
rnacentral:rRNA from 1 species